rnacentral:rRNA from 1 species
CCUACGGGAGGCAGCAGUGGGGAAUAUUGCACAAUGGGGGAAACCCUGAUGCAGCGACGCCGCGUGAGUGAAGAAGUAUUUCGGUAUGUAAAGCCCUAUCAGCAGGGAAGAAAAUGACGGUACUAGUUCCAGAAGCCCCGGCUAACUACGUGUCAGUAGCCGCGGUAAUACUGAGGGGGCAAUCGUUAUCCGGAUUUACUGGGUGUAAAGGUAGCGGAGACGGCAGCUCAUGUCUGGAGUGAAAUGCCGGGGCUUAACCCCGGAACUGCUUCGGAGACUGUGCAGCUAGAGUGAAGGAGAGGGAAGUGGAAUUACUGGUGUAGCGGUGAAAUGCGUAGAUAUUGGGAGGAACACGAGUGGCGAAGGCGGGUUACUGGACUGUAACUGACGUUGAGGCUCGAAGGCGUGGGGAGCAAACGGGAUUAGAUACCCUUGUAGUC